GAUUGGACACUGAGAGGUUCCUUAUCCUUCAUCAAUGGGAACUCCAUUAGUAGAUUGAUAUUUACAUCAUGCAGGAAGCAGGCAAGAAAAAAAUCCAUUGGCAUUACUUUCAGGUGGGCCUUGCUACGUGAUAUAGUGUAUGCCUUACAUGGUAUGGACUAUUCAUUAGGGCUGUUUUUAUUUUUAUUACCUUUAUUUUUAUUAGAUAUAUUACCUCCUGAGACUGUAUGAAGUGAACCAUGUCACUGGGUGAGAUUACUACUCAGUUAAUAGCAGUCCUGGAAUCAGUCAGUUGGG
rnacentral:lncRNA from 1 species